rnacentral:rRNA from 1 species
GACGAACGCUGGCGGCGUGCUUAACACAUGCAAGUCGAGCGGUAAGGCCCUUUCGGGGGUACACGAGCGGCGAACGGGUGAGUAACACGUGGGUGACCUGCCCUCAGCUCUGGGAUAAGCCUGGGAAACCGGGUCUAAUACUGGAUAUGACUCCAUGACGCAUGUUGUGGGGUGGAAAGCCUCGUGCGGCUGAGGAUGGGCCCGCGGCCUAUCAGCUUGUUGGUGGGGUGANGGCCUACCAAGGCGACGACGGGUAGCCGGCCUGAGAGGGCGACCGGCCACACUGGGACUGAGACACGGCCCAGACUCCUACGGGAGGCAGCAGUGGGGAAUCUUGCGCAAUGGGCGAAAGCCUGACGCAGCGACGCCGCGUGAGGGAUGACGGCCUGG